rnacentral:rRNA from 1 species
UUUCCGGUUGAUCCUGCCAGAGGCGACCGCUAUUGGAGUUCGAUUAAGCCAUGCGAGUCGAGAGUCUUAGGGACUCGGCAUACUGCUCAGUAACACGUGGAUAACCUGCCCUGUGCUGGAGGAUAACCUCGGGAAACUGAGAAUAAUACUCCAUAGACCACUAUGCCUGGAAUGGUUUGUGGUUCAAAGCUCCGGCGGCACAGGAUGGGUCUGCGGCGUAUCAGGUUGUAGGGGGUGUAAAGGACCCUCUAGCCAUUGACGCGUACGGGUUGUGGGAGCAAUCGCCCGGAGAUGGAUUCUGAGACACGAAUCCAGACCCUACGGGGUGCAGCAGGCGCGGAAACUUCACACUGCGGGAAACCGUGAUGAGGGAACUCCAAGUGUUUGCACUAUGUGCAAUCUUUUCUUGACUUUUAAUAGGUCUUGGUAAUAAGGGGUGGGAAAGACCGGUGCCAGCCGCCGCGGUAAUACCGGCACCCCAAGUGGUCGUCGCUUUUAUUGGGCCUAAAACGUCCGUAGCCUGUUUGGUAAACCCGUGGGUAAAUCAACAUGCUCAACAUGUUGACUUCUGCGGAGACUGCCAGACUAGGGACCGGGAGAGGUGUGGGGUACUCAUGGGGUAGGGGUAAAAUCCUGUCAUCCCAUGAGGACCACCUGUUGCGAAGGCGCCACACUGGAACGGAUCCGACGGUCAGGGACGAAGCCUAGGGGCACGAACCGGAUUAGAUACCCGGGUAGUCCUAGGUGUAAACGCUGUGGACUUGGUGUUGGGGAUCCGACAUGGGUCUCCAGUGCCGCAGCGAAGGUGUUAAGUCCACUGCCUGGGGAGUACGGUCGCAAGGCUGAAACUUAAAGGAAUUGGCGGGGGAGCACUGCAACGGGAGGAGCGUGCGGUUUAAUUGGACUCAACGCCGGGAA